rnacentral:snoRNA from 1 species
UUUAUGAUGAUCGAUUUCAAUUAUAAUAACUUUCGUUCUACUGAGUGCCGAUCAAACGAUCUUGUAGACAACUUUUUUAUCUGAUU